rnacentral:rRNA from 1 species
GAGUUUGAUCGUGGCUCAGAUUGAACGCUGGCGGCAUGCCUUACACAUGCAAGUCGAACGGCAGCAUGAUCUAGCUUGCUAGAUUGAUGGCGAGUGGCGAACGGGUGAGUAAUACAUCGGAACGUGCCCUGUAGUGGGGAUAACUAGUCGAAAGAUUAGCUAAUACCGCAUACGACCUGAGGGUGAAAGUGGGGACCGCAAGGCCUCAUGCUAUAGGAGCGGCCGAUGUCUGAUUAGCUAGUUGGUGGGGUAAAGGCCCGACCAAGGCGACGAUCAGUAGCUGGUCUGAGAGGACGAUCAGCCACACUGGGACUGAGACACGGUCCAGACUCCUACGGGAGGCAGCAGGUGGGAAUUUUGGACAAUGGGCGAAAGCCUGAUCCAGCAAUGCCGCGUGUGUGAAGAAGGCCU